UACGUAGGGGGCAAGCGUUGUCCGGAUUUAUUGGGCGUAAAGAGCGUGUAGGCGGCCUGGUAGGUCAGCUGUGAAAACUCGAGGCUCAACCUCGAGACGCCGGUUGAAACCAUCAGGCUAGAGUCCGGAAGAGGAGAGUGGAAUUCCCGGUGUAGCGGUGAAAUGCGCAGAUAUCGGGAAGAACACCCGUGGCUAAGGCGGCUCUCUAGUACGGUACUGACGCUGAGACGCGAACGCGUGGGGAGCGAACAGG
rnacentral:rRNA from 1 species